GACGGCGUGAAAACGGAAACAACAAGUAUGCCGGCUCACUGUGCUGCAUACAGUUACACACUACGUCGUACGAUUGAGACAAGGAAACUUGGAAUGACUUUUCAUAGGUUUCCCAGAGACUGUGGGUUGAGGAGGAAUUGGAAGUUUGUCGGCUUAGACCUGGUGUCAUUCCAUCAGUGUUAAACUUCCCGGCUCAUCUUGGAAGAGUACGUGCCAGAAAGACCACGACCAAGCAGCCUUGAGAUCUUAGGCAGCGUCUCCCUCAGACCAAAGAACUACAGACUCUUCACAACCUGCUCAAACUCUUGGUACAGGACCUCACCACACGGGUCAAGAAGGUUUCCUUCUCAUUUCUACUCUGAAGCUCACCUUCUCCUGCUCAAACUGCUGACAAAUGUUUCUGCUGCUCUAAAGUCUGCUCUCCAGAACUUCCUAGAAACUCUCAAAGUCACUUCUGCUGCAGGUUGCUUUGUAGAACUGUUCCAGAAAACCUCACUAAACCACAUGGAGGGGCCUCAAGAUAGUCGUCCAAAUGAAACCGUACAAAAACCAAAGUAGCACAACCCAAACGCUAAAGUCUCCUGCAGCCUACCAGAGAACCUCUGAGAA
ensembl:lncRNA